AGAGUUUGAUCCUGGCUCAGGACGAACGCUGGCGGCACGCUUAACACAUGCAAGUCGAACGAGAGAAGAGGAGCUUGCUUUUCUGAUCUAGUGGCGGACGGGUGAGUAACACGUGAGCAAUCUGCCUUUCAGAGGGGGAUACCGAUUGGAAACGAUCGUUAAUACCGCAUAACAUAAUUGAACCGCAUGAUUUGAUUAUCAAAGAUUUAUCGCUGAAAGAUGAGCUCGCGUCUGAUUAGCUAGUUGGUAAGGUAACGGCUUACCAAGGCGACGAUCAGUAGCCGGACUGAGAGGUUGAUCGGCCACAUUGGGACUGAGACACGGCCCAGACUCCUACGGGAGGCAGCAGUGGGGAAUAUUGCACAAUGGAGGAAGCUCUGAUGCAGCGAUGCCGCGUGAGGGAAGAAGGUUUUAGGAUUGUAAACCUCUGUCUUCAGGGACGAAAAAAGACGGUACCUGAGGAGGAAGCUCCGGCUAACUACGUGCCAGCAGCCGCGGUAAUACGUAGGGAGCGAGCGUUGUCCGGAAUUACUGGGUGUAAAGGGAGCGUAGGCGGGAUCGCAAGUCAGAUGUGAAAACUAUGGGCUUAACCCAUAAACUGCAUUUGAAACUGUGGUUCUUGAGUGAAGUAGAGGUAAGCGGAAUUCCUAGUGUAGCGGUGAAAUGCGUAGAUAUUAGGAGGAACAUCAGUGGCGAAGGCGGCUUACUGGGCUUUAACUGACGCUGAGGCUCGAAAGCGUGGGGAGCAAACAGGAUUAGAUACCCUGGUAGUCCACGCCGUAAACGAUGAUUACUAGGUGUGGGGGGACUGACCCCUUCCGUGCCGCAGCAAACGCAAUAAGUAAUCCACCUGGGGAGUACGACCGCAAGGUUGAAACUCAAAGGAAUUGACGGGGGCCCGCACAAGCAGUGGAGUAUGUGGAUUAAUUCGAAGCAACGCGAAGAACCUUACCAGGUCUUGACAUCGUAUGCAUAGCUCAGAGAUGAGUGAAAUCUCUUCGGAGACAUAUAGACAGGUGGUGCAUGGUUGUCGUCGGCUCGUGUCGUGAGAUGUUGGGUUAAGUCCCGCAACGAGCGCAACCCUUACUGUUAGUUGCUACGCAAGAGCACUCUAGCAGGACUGCCGUUGACAAAACGGAGGAAGGUGGGGAUGACGUCAAAUCAUCAUGCCCCUUAUGACCUGGGCCUCACACGUACUACAAUGGCUGUCAACAGAGGGAAGCAAAGCCGCGAGGUGGAGCGAACCCCUAAAAGCAGUCUUAGUUCGGAUUGUAGGCUGCAACCCGCCUACAUGAAGUCGGAAUUGCUAGUAAUCGCAGAUCAGCAUGCUGCGGUGAAUACGUUCCCGGGCCUUGUACACACCGCCCGUCACGCCAUGGGAGUCGGUAACACCCGAAGCCUGUAGUCUAACCGCAAGGAGGACGCAGUCGAAGGUGGGAUUGAUGACUGGGGUGAAGUCGUAAAAAGGUA
rnacentral:rRNA from 1 species